GGGGCUGACAUGGAUUUGACAGCAAGAUGAGGUGGUACGUAAGCAUGCAGAGCGCUGAUAACAGGCUCUCAAAUCUCAGUUAUCAAACAAUUAUCUGGCGAAAACACUUACGCUCUCGCUGCUUAAUCGAAGUAUAGUAGAUUAGCUUUAUCCCUUUGCCAGGCGAAGGGACGAGACAUCGCCCUGAAAGCUAUCCGUCCCGAAGCGUUCAGAUCCGCGGUGUAGGAAAAUCGGGAAUAGUUCGAGUUGGCCUCGCGGCUCGGAUGAAAUCUUAAAGGAUAAGGCAGCAAUUGGUGGUCCAGGUCUUGUUGCUGCACGAAAACCGAAGGCUGGAAUAAGCAUGUAGAAAGCGUAUGGCUUCCUUGUUUGGACGAGGGUUCAAUCCCCUCCAGCUCCACA
rnacentral:tmRNA from 1 species